UACAGAGGUCCCAAGCGUUGUUCGGAUUCAUUGGGCGUAAAGGGUGCGUAGGUGGCGCGCUAAGUCAGGUGUGAAAUUUCGGAGCUUAACUCCGAAACUGCAUUUGAUACUGGCGUGCUUUGAGGACUGGAGAGGAGACUGGAAUUUUACGGUGUAGCAGUGAAAUCGUAGAGAUCGUAAGGAAGACCAGUGGCGAAGGCGGGUCUCUGGA
rnacentral:rRNA from 1 species